rnacentral:snRNA from 13 species
AAAAAGGGUGCUCGUCCUGGCAUGUUCCCGUAUUAGGAACUUAAAUGCAGACGCAUUGCGUCAUUGGCCCAAUCCUACGUUCCUUGAAUGGGGCGGGGGCGUGCGCUGAAUUGCCGCCUUUGUUGGGAUCCAAUGUGCCCAGUGGGGUAUGGCUUUGCAUAUCCAGUGCGUAAUUUUUGUAUUUCGGGGCAGGCGGCUGCACGCUUUCUGAGCAGCUGGAUAGCAGAUACUUCUGCGUGCCAGCAGCUCGUGCGCUGCGCCCCA